CGGAGACUGAUCCCAGCUGUGAGGAACUGCAGAAAGGCUCGUACCCAGUACGUCACCCACAAGAAAAGUAGCAACCAACUGUUGAACAAAGCAGCCUCACGCUUCCACCACUGUGGUCCAGCAUCUCUCUCUCUCCGGGCCCCACCUCUCCUCCACUCUUUAACCAGGAUCAGCUGAUUACCUGAGUGGAACCAGCUGCAGGUCAGAGGAGGGGCCAUCACCUGGAGGAAGGAGAGUGGAGAGAGACACACAAACACAACAACUACUACAAUGGCACUUGGGUCAUAACAAUUAGUUAUUUAUUGUAUUUGUUUUUCAAGCUUAAACCAGUAGGUUCAUAAAUACAUUAACAUUUCUCUUUAUUCUCAUUACUUGUUAGUGCUUUUAUUUUGAAGUCAUUGGGUAACUCUUCUCAUUCUUCUUCAGUGUUCCACUGUUCUCAGCAAACAUUACAGUCAGUUGUAUUUAGUCCCAGAUGUUCUCCAGCUGUUUAAAGCUCUUCUUCUCUUUAUUUCUAAUCAUUAUUACAUUUGACUGUUUUAUUUAUAUUUCAUUGUAUUCACUGGAAAUAUUCACAUGUUCACUGGGCUCAACUAAAAAGAUCCAGAGUCCAUUAACCAGUGAAGACAGUCCAGAUGUUUGUCUCAUCCAGAUGUCCUCAUGAUGGAUCAGAUCCACUGACAGACUGUGGACAGUCUGGAAGCCUCAAUGUAACUCAGUCUUGUCUCCAUUCAUCUAAA